rnacentral:tRNA from 6 species
GGGCCCGUAGCUCAGCUGGUAGAGCAACUGACUUUUAAUCAGUAGGUCACAGGUUCGAACCCCGUCGGGCUCACCA